rnacentral:lncRNA from 1 species
AGAAAGCCCCAAUAGUAUUUUAAAAAUUCACCUUCAAAUUCAUGGAACUGAGAAAUAUUUACAUCAUUUCGUCGCUUAUUGAUGUUUCUAUUCAUCAAUGUUCCUCAUACAGUAUAAAAACCAGCAGUGGUCCAAGGAGGAAGCUUGGGUGCUUAUUGAGAGUAAGUGACUAAUCUUCUUGGUUUAGAAAUGCAGUUCUUAAAAUAUUAGGUUUAUAGAUUGUUUUGAGAAACAGAUUAAAGGCAAGAAAUAGGGAACAUACAUCUCACAUAUACAUUGCAUGUUGCAUUCAGUUCCAGGGUUCCAAAAAUUUUAGGUCUAGGACAUCAUUACGGGAGAAUUUCCAUUAGGUGUACUUAAAGAACAUCAUGAUAAGCAAGAGGGAAGAAAUAGGAUUCUGACCUUGGGCAAUGAUAUAGUUCCUUUUACUAGUAACCAAUUAAUCCAACCGAUCAGAAUAACCUUUGCCCUUGCUUUUCAGUGGUUUUUAAAAAAGGAACAACACAAAAUGGCACUGUUAGGGGCUUUUUGGAACUGGACAUAGCAUCAAAUCGGCUCUAAAAACAAACAAAUAACUAUAAUAUAGUAUACAUCAAAUUCAAGUUUUAAAUGCUGUUCAAG